rnacentral:rRNA from 1 species
ACGGAGGGUGCGAGCGUUAAUCGGAAUUACUGGGCGUAAAGCGCGCGUAGGCGGUUUGUUAAGUCAGCUGUGAAAGCCCCGGGCUCAACCUGGGAACUGCAGUUGAUACUGGCCGACUAGAGUACGAGAGAGGGAGGUAGAAUUCCAUGUGUAGCGGUGAAAUGCGUAGAUAUAUGGAGGAAUACCGGUGGCGAAGGCGGCCUCCUGGCUCGAUACUGACGCUGAGGUGCGAAAGCGUGGGGAUCAAACAGGAUUAGAUACCCUGGUAGUCCACGCCGUAAACGAUGUCUACUAGCCGUUGGGAGACUUGAUUUCUUAGUGGCGCAGCUAACGCAAUAAGUAGACCGCCUGGGGAGUACGGCCGCAAGGUUA